GGGGUUGCAGUCCAUAGGGUCACAAAGAGUCAGACACGACUGGAGCAACUUAGCACAUGCACACAAGUGUGUGUGGAGCUCCACAGGAGAGAAACAGGGCGGGACACUAGCAAGGUGGUGGUUUUAUUUUUUCUUCGUGGAAGAGCUUUUGAAUACAAUGUUAAAAUACUUACAAAUUUUAUAAUCUAUGUGAGUUAUAAAACUUUGCAGUAAAAUGUCUACAUACCUCUCACCCAAAUUAAAAUACAUUAUUACUACCAUGGAGACUCCAAGAACACCCCUCUUACUACCAAAGGUAAACCACUAUCAUGAUUUCAUGCGUAUCAUUCUCCUGCUGUUUAAAGACAAAUUUUCCAAUGUUUGAACCCUAUGUAAAUGGAAUCAUACAGAUAUAUUCUUCUAUGACUAACUUUUUUCACUCAAUAUUAUAUUUGUGAGAUUUGUCCAAGUUGAUACAUGUAGCAUAAUUUACUCAUACUCACAACUGUUUGUUAUUCUGUUAUAGUAAUACUCUAGGCUUAUGUAUCCAUCCUCUUGUUGAUGGCCAUCUGAAUGUCUCCUUUUUUUUGUUAUUACAACCAUGUGGCUGUGAAUAUUCUAAUCCAAUCUAGUCUCUUGGUGCACAGAUCUAAGAAUUUCCUCAUUGUAUAUGCCUGAGAGUAGCUUUGCUGGCUUAUAGAGAAUGAGCAUCUUUAGCUGUAUUAGAUCAUGUCAAGAUCUUGGUGGUUGUCCAAGCUAUACUCCCAACAACAAAGUUUAAGAAGGAACCCAAGAAUUCCAAUCAGCUAUGAGCUGAUUUAGCUACUCUCAAGUAUCUGGAGUUAAGAAAAAGGGAGACUGCAUGGCUAAAAGGAAUCCACAGAUGAUGGUGAUGAUGAUGACGUGACGAGGACAACAAACCCAAAUAUAGCGCUUGCUAUAUGCCAGGCACUGUUCUGAACACUUCAAACACAUGGACUCGUUCCAUCUUUAUGAUUACUCUGAGAGGUAUAUAUGGUUAUCCUCACCUGUAGGUAAAGAAUCUGAGGCAGAGAGAGGUGAGUAACUUGCCCACAUCAUUAUGGUUGGUAAAUGUGGGAUCUGGAAUUUGAGAUGUUGCUCUAAACCCCAUGCCUCAUUUCAACUGUUAACCUGUGAGUUCAUGCUAAAUGAGACAAUAAGAAGGGCAAGCUCAUGAUUGGUUGGCUACCCUGCCAUUGGUAAAGGGUGGGACUUAGCUUUCCAACCAUACUAUCACACACCCCCUUUCACAGUUAAGAAGCAAGAGAAAAGCAUUUUCCCCCACUUGGGUAGCAUGGAAUUUGUAUGAUUUCUGGCCAAAUAUGUAAUUAAAAAUGUGAGAAGGAGUUCUUAAGCUAAAACACCCCAAAUCUUGACCUAACACAGCCUCCUUGAAGUUGAUUCUGUGGUUAUUGGCAUUUGACUAGACAAGAAGAGAAAUAACUGUUCCUCCCGGCCCAUCCUCAGGGACCUUAAUGCUGGGUACCAUAAUUUGUGUGGCAAAGCAAAGUGGGGGAUAUUGACUAUUUCAAAGACUGAUCAAAAUGGCUAAAAUAUGACAUAAUCAUACUGUCACGAGGCAUUGCUAAUUUUUGUCAUGAAAACAUCAGCAGAAAUGAAGAACCAUACAUAAAUUCAUAGCUCAAAAUCAAUAAAGCUAUUUUUUUUUGGUCCAAAUUAUUCAGGUUAGUCUUUUACAUGGUAUCUUCAGUCCUCAAAUUUCUACUGCCCUUUGUCUGUACACAGACAUUUGUACAGGGUAGAAAAGUGGUGUUACUAAAAUGUAAUCCAUGGUAUCUUUCUUUAUGAUGUCUUUAAUAGUAAACACAUUUUUCAAAGAUGAUUAAUUGCAAUGUUCUCAAGACAGUAAUUUCUUCUUUUGUUUAUUUGUUUAAAACAGGGAUGUUCACGUGAAAACCCAAUGCAAGGUCCAAAUCAUUAAGCUCUUCCUAAGUUAAAGUAGGUAUAUUUCACAUUGAAAUAUGUCAUUUUAAUGGCAAAAGGAAAUUUUGAAAUAUGUCAUUUUAAUGUCAAAAGGAAAAAAAAAAGAAUGUCUUCAAAGAUUUGGCCUAUAGAGUAAAUUUCAAAAUGGGAAACAACACUAGUCCUGUAAUGAGAUGUAAAUCACAACACUGACAUUUAUCUUCUCUUGGUGAGUUCAAUUCCCUGUAGCAGCAUAGAGAGGAAAAGAAAAUAUUGGAACUGAGAGUAAUAAAAUGAAUACAGCAGGCUCCUCGUGUAUGAAUGACACUUUCUUCACAUAAUGAGAGUAACUGGCAGGCAUCUCUAGGACACAUUCCCCUUCUCUGAAAAUAUUCCAGGCUUUCUGACUCUUCUCAGUUUACUAUCUUGAAUCUCACUGGUGGGAGGAUCACUAGGCUAUGGGGCAAACCCCUUAAUAAAGCAGAUGUCUUGAGUGUGAAGAAGCGGUGGGCUGUUCGUAUGUGAAUGCAAAUUGAAUUGAUCAGAUGGUCUUCCUUUUGGCAGCCAGCUGAGAGGUUCUACAUGCAGGUGUUCCAAGUUCUAAAUCUGGGGACCAACAUGAUUGGGAGGAGGGAAACGAGGCAUGAGUGAGGCACAGAGCUCACUCAUUCUUGGGAAAUUCACCUGACAUUUCAUGAGCACACUCAAGCAGCCCCACAUGGAGAAGCCCACUGAGAGGAACUAAGGCUGUCUCCCAAUAGCCACAUUCUCACAGUGUGAGGCCUGGAGAAGACUGUUCCACCCUGUGGUAACACAGAAACGUCAGAAUAUCAGCGAUUGAACACAAGGGUCAUUUCUUUGUUCAUGUAAAGUCUGUUGCUUGCUGGGCAGCCCUUUUUCAUCUUGUAGCUAUGCUCUCAGGAGCAGGUGGCCUUCAGGGAGACUCUAGGAGGGGAAGGAGAUAGAAGUGGCCAACUGGCUCUUGACUGCCUCAGCCUGGAACUGACCCACAGAACUUCCCCCACAGCCCAUAGGCUGGAACUGGUCACAUGGCCUCCUAACAGCAAGGGAGGCUGGGAAAUGGAAGAGAGCUCAUAUUUGGGGAGCAUGCAUUGUCCCUGUCACAGAAGCUAAACAGUGUUUGUUGAAUCUGCUUCUUACCCCAUAAGCAUAUUGCUUCCUGAUUAUCAACAUGAGAGAAUGUCCAGGGAAGAAUACUUUAGUUAUUUGUAAAGAAUUAAAAAUGGCAAUCAGAUUAUUUUCUUUCCAUUUUUUUUGCUCUACUACUGAAUUAGUUCCUACAUGGCUGAUCCCUCUCUUCAGUUAAUGGCAAGGCCCCAGUUGGCUGACUGACUGCUCUUCAAGGAGUUUGGCUCCACAGCCGUGGCAGCUGGAAUCCAAGGCACAGGGAAUCAUCUCUUGUCUGUGUCUGAGGAUAUUAGAGCUCUGUCCUGUCAAGGGACCCAUUCUGGGUGCUGCAAGCUGAGGGUGCUCACAGAGUAGAGUGGGACCCAUGCAGUUGACGUAGUAAUAACAGAAAGGAUAGCAGUGGUACAUCCGGCCAUUGCAAGAAAAGAAGGGCACAACUCUACAUUAUAGUGGGAAGUUUCUGCCUCACACAAGGUUAUCUAAGGAAAGGAAACCAUUAACUAAACAGAGAAAAUGUAGACUUCAGCCAGGCACAGAUUCCUCUGUGUAUGCUAUGCCACUGUCUUCACUCAAGUUUAGUGAUUGAGGAGGUGCUUAUAGGUACUUGCUUGUAGGUAAAUGUCUGUACAAGUGGGUGUUACAGACCUCUGUACCUGCCCUGUUCUGCCUCCUUCCCACCUGCUUCCUCUCUGACUUUUUGCUCUAGGCUCACUAUGGGGACCACUGUGAAAAUGGCAUUUCUUAGAGUGCAGAAUGUGCCAAUUGAAACUGAUAUGAAUGAGAAAAACAAGCUCCGUAUGCCUCACUAGCCAUUGUUUUUUGGGUGUAAAUCUAAUUCGCUCAUUUUUCCCCCAAUAGCUUGUGUAAGCCCUGUGUGCAAGGGAGAUGGGAAAGAGCAAAAGGUAGUGACCCAAUUAAGUAGCUGUCUGCUUUGGUCCUAGGGAUGUGAAGAGCAGAAGUCCCUCAGCCUAGUUCAGGCAAGGAGGAAUUUUAUGGAGGAGGUUCACCUAGGGUGACAAAGGAAAAAGUUCUCAGGGCCAGCUUGGGCAAGCAUGAAUCUGGGGCAGGAGCAAGUUGCUGUACCAGCUCAGAGAAUCCCCAUCUUUCUCUAGAACCACAGUGUCUUUCUUUCUUUCUUUAAAAAUUUGAAUUUUUAAUUGAAGCAUAGUUGAUUUACAAUGUUGUGUUAGUUUCUGGUGUUCACAGUGUCUUUCAUUGCAUCUCUGCUUCUCUCUGUGCCUUUGCUCCAUUUUCUCUGCGUCUACUGAUGGGCUUUUCCUGAUACCUCUUGGAAUUUUUCUCUCAUGGUGUCAGAUUACAUGUGGCUUUGGCUCAACAUGGCCCUGGCUGGGCCUCAGUCUCCCUUUUAACUUCUGGCCACUCUCAUGGAAUUCCUGAAUUUAACUCCCAAGAGAGACAUUCUGAUUGGUCCAGUUCUUUUUCCUCCACUACAUCUUAGGUUCUGUGCCAUGGGUCAUUGGGAAGCAUUUAGGUUGGCAUCUGGUCCAGCCUGCCAGGUGGGUUGAGGGUGAGGGGUGCCUAUCUUCUUGUAUAAAACAUUAUCUCCUGAGUGACCAGAGCUGUGUUUGGGGCAGGUUCCUUGGAGAAAAGGCUGCAGCCUUACUGAAGCUGAGAUGAAGGAACUUGACUAUGCAGCAUCACCUUAGACAUACUGAUCUGAGAGUCUCCUAGAAACAACAGACAGCCAUUGACGGGCAUUAAAUGGAGGGCGAUCUGACUCUCUUUGCCUCUUUAACAGGUCUCUGUGGCUCUGUCCUGGACAGAGCUGGAGGGGCACGUGGAUACAAAAGGGGAAACCAGUUAGGAGGGUUGGUGAGAGACAAUAGGGUGGCGUUGAGACAGCAAGAGCUGGGUGGGUUACUCUAUUUGACAGUGAAGGGUAGCCAUCGCCUGUCCCUCUCCCCUGGACACCUAGGUCCAGUCACAGUGAUCCCUUUUUAGUUUCUCAGACUCACCCAGCUCAUUUUCUCCUUACAGCCUGUGCAGCUGUUGUGCCCUUUGCUGUAACAUUCUCCCCUCCCUCCUGCUUAGCCUACUUUUUCUUCAGUCUCAAUUCCAAGGUCACUCCCUUCAAAAGCCUUCUCAGAUGCCCCUCCACUCACAAAACAGAUGAGAUUCCUGGUUUGCAAUUAUAGUCAUCCCUCAGUAUCCAUGGGGGUUGGUUCCAGGACAGCCUUGGGUACCAAAAUCUUAGGAUGCACCUUAUCUCAGAUGGUAAAGCGUCUGCUUGAAAUGCGGGAGACUCAAGUUGGAUCCCUGGG